AACGUAGGGGGCCAGCGUUGUUCGGAAUUACUGGGCGUAAAGGGUUCGUAGGCGGUGUGGCAAGUCGGGAGUGAAAUCUCUGGGCUCAACUCAGAGACUGCUUCCGAAACUGCUGUGCUGGAGUGUGGGAGAGGCGCGUGGAAUUGCAGGUGUAGCGGUGAAAUGCGUAGAUAUCUGCAGGAACACCCGUGGCGAAAGCGGCGCGCUGGACCACUACUGACGCUGAGGAACGAAAGCUAGGGGAGCAAACAGG
rnacentral:rRNA from 1 species